rnacentral:lncRNA from 1 species
AGGUCCAAGAAAGUCUCUCCCUUAAUUGCUUUCCUGAGGCUUGCCAUCCACUUGGAAACUUUGUUUCCCACUAUCUGCCUUUCCACAGGGAGGGAGGCAUGGAAAUGAAGAGGUUAAAGUUGAGGUAGGAGAGUGACAUGUCGGUCACCCCAAGGUCCUGGUGCAACAUCCCCUCCUGGGGAACCACUCAACUCCCACUGCUCCUAGACCGGAGUCCCCUUUUCUUCUCUGGGAGAACCUUCCUACCCACCUGACAGUUGCCAGGUGAACCCCUUGGAGCCUCAGAUCGUCCUGCCCACUGGCAGAAGAGGGAGAAGCAGAAAGGUGCCUACUAUGAGACUAGGAUUCCUGAGUUCAAUACCCACCCAAGGCAGACCCUGGGCUUGGCCACCCUGAGAUCAGCCUGCCCUGAAAGGUGUGUUUCGGCAGAUGAGACCACAGGCGCUGGCCAUGCUGUACUUCCACCUGUGCCCUGGCUGCACCAUGUGGCAUGAUGAGGCUGCGGAGGGCGUUUUCCGGCAGCUGGGUGUGAGGCCCCGAUGCUGGAAUUCUACAGCCAUGAUGACCCCUCAACAAUGCUGCCUGGCUGCAGGAGUUGCUGAGUGGCUUGCAGUAGGUGAAGCCUGGGAGACCUCCUGACAUGGGGCCCACCUGCACCAGCACACCCCCACCCCACCCCCAGUACCUCAACACCCUCAAACCUUCCUGGGGAGGCAGGGCCUGGUGCCAUACCCCCCAGCCCAACUCUGAUGGGGCUCCAGCCACCCAAUGGACAGGGCAUACAGACAGGAUAGUGGAGGCGUUGAGACCUGCUUGAUUUAUUCCAAGUAUUUAAUACACAAUGACGCAACUGUGA